UACAGCGGGUGCGAGCGUUAAUCGGAAUUACUGGGCGUAAAGCGCACGUAGGUGGCGACGUAAGUCGGGUGUGAAAGCCCCGGGCUCAACCUGGGAAUUGCAUUCGAGACUGCAUUGCUGGAGUACGGAAGAGGAGGGCGGAAUUCCCGGUGUAGCGGCGAAAUGCGUAGAUAUCGGGAGGAACAUCAGUGGCGAAGGCGGCCCUCUGGUCCAGUACUGACACUCAAGUGAGAAAGCGUGGGGAGCAAACAGG
rnacentral:rRNA from 1 species